AUGAAGUUCCUUUGUGCCACCUUAGCUCUCUUCUCUCUUCUUUUGGUAAGCAUUUGUAUCCUCCUUUUCCUCUUGUUGCUUAUAAUCUGUGAUCAAUUUCAAGUCAACAACUUGAUAAUGAAAAAACGGUACUAAAAUCUUAUAAUUCCACGAAGAUGUUCUCUUAUUAGAAAAUCUGAUAUAUUAUAUUGUUAAAUAAGUUAUCAAUUUUAACCAUUUAUUUUGUUUAGAAGUGUGGUCGAAAUUAACAAUCUGACAACUUAACAAAACCUACAAUAUGAUUUGAAACGUAUGCCUUGGAAAUUUCGGUAAACUUGAUGUUUGUUGCUUUUCUGUCCUGUGGCGCAGUUUGCUAAAACUAUAGAAUCAAGAGGAGGUGCAGGAAUUGACUGGGAAUAUAUCAGGAAAGAGCAACCCCUUAUGCCAGGACUCCUUGUUGAACAUUCUGAUUCAACACCAAAAAAAGAAGCCAACUGGCAUGAAAAUACAGAAAAACCUGUUGUUGACACUAUGGAAUUUGAACCCAGACCGUUUAUCUCAGCUUACAAUGAUGAAGAAGGCAAAGCAGAGUUCUCUGCCAAAGACUCUGAGCCAAAGUCCCAGGCUUACCCUGACAAGCAGCCACUUGAGUCAAAAGAAAAUAAGCAGUCAUUUGAUGAAGACUUUGAUCCGAGGAAAUAUAUAUUUCUUUUUACAAUGACUAAUAGAACAUCAAGUGUGAGUUGGUGCUAUUUAAAAAUAAAAUAA
rnacentral:lncRNA from 1 species